UUCCCUGUUCCGUGGAUAUAGACAAUCUUCCUAACCACAUUAAAUCUAUGAGCUUUUCUUUUCGUUUGGAAUCGUUGCAUGAAAAUCAACACCUACAUUUCUCUUUCUUUCUAAGGAGAAAUGAAGCUUGAAGUGAAGAGAAGCCUUAUUCUUUGUUUUCUCACAAUCACCAUCCUAUUUCUUGGUGAGAAGAUGGAAUCAGUUAAUGCACAAAGCAGGGAAGGGGGAUAUGCACCUAGAUUGGUCACUCGGGUGGGACGCGACCCCAAGCCACCGAGCCCACCACCACCUCAUCCAAUGGCGCCACCAGGACCAGGGAUGCUCACUUGACCUUUUUCUUGAAUCCCAAACUUUCUAUGAUGUAUCUCUAAGAAAAGAAUGAAAUAAGACCGACAAAAUAAAGAACAAAAGUAUUGAUAAUUUACGCCUUAGUUUCAUGAUCA